GUCAAGUUGUUACACAGUUCCGGCCUUUCUUCACCUGUUUCCAAACCUGAGCUAUCUAAAUCAACAGACUUAGCAGAAUGGGCUGCUAAGAUUUUGGUAAUUCUUUCCUUGGUCUCAUCAGGAUUAUUACUGAAAUCUCCAGCAUCCAGCCUCAACCAUUCAUCUAGUGAAACAGACAGCUCCACUAAAGCACCCUCGUCAUCAUCACUUUCUUUGCCACACCAAUGCUUUGAUGCGCUAGCUGUAUAAGAACUAAGAACUUCACUAAAUUGAGGCCUAAUGCUUGAAGGUGCUUCAUUAUCUGACAAGUUUGACUGGAUUCUCAACCCCUCUAUUAUAAGAGAUUCUAUUUUACCCAUUGCCAAAGGAGCUAGAUCCUCCAUAAACACAAAACCUAAAUCUACAUUAUCAAUCAUUGAGGUUGAAUUGAGAUGACCAGAACUCUGAUGAAACAGCAGAUCUUCACUGCCCUUCUUCAUACCUAACAACCCAUGCCAAAAAGUGAACCUCUCAUCUUGUUCAAGUCUGGAUCCGGCUUCCCAGGCUAUUUCUUGUAUAUUCCUCCCAGUGAUAUCUUCUAAAGGCAUCAGCUUAUCUGCCUGAGCAGACAUUUUGGAAAUUCCACCAGAUGCCCAGCAGCUGAGUAUUUCCAUAACACUACAAGUACCCAUAGUAGCAGGAAGCACCACUGGACUAGCAAAUUGCAUGAUUAAUCUUGCACCAUUCCUUGCACUCCGAAAAAGUUGAGGACUCAUUGAACAUAAGAAGCCCCCAUUGCGCGUGCACAUUUUAGAACCUAGGCCCUCUCCGAUAGGAGGAAAUUUUAACGGUCUUUCAGGGGAAAGAUAGAUUGGACUUCCAAACCCACCAAAGCUGAUGCGUGGUGAAUUCUGGAAUGCUUUCUCAUUCAAACCCCAAUCUUGCAUUAAAGCCUCAGUUUCCAAGUUCUCUAUCAUUUUUGCAUUCCUUUUACUCCUCAAUGACUGGGUACCUCUCUUAUGCUCCUUCUCAAAAUCCUUAAUAACUGAUGACAGAUCAAAGUCAUCUGAACAUGCAACUUUUCCAUGAACACUUGAAGCAAUGCCACUGAAUUCCACUUGAUUGUCUGUUGUAUCAAAAUCAAAACUUGAGUUUCUAGAAGAAAGGGUCUCCUUCUCAAACUGUCUCAAAAGGCAUUCUCUUGGUGAACCCAGACAGCUAUCCGAACUCAAGUCAACUGAGGUCUGCUCAAUGUUCAACAUUUCCAGAAAAUCAUUUGCCACAGACUCUGUCAAAUCAUCUAGGCUAAGUGAUUUCACCCGCCUACUGGAUUUAUAGCUGGACUUCAGAUUCAUGUAGCUUUCUUGGUCAAUGGACUCAUACAUUUCUACCGGUGAAUCCAACUCUGCAGACUCAGCAGUCAACAGGUCAAGGAAAACCGACUCAAGCUCUUCAAAUAUUUCAUCCUUGCAUACAUCAUUCUCCUCAUAAUUGCUGCUUUUCAUUGUAUGUUCUCCUUCGUAGACAUCAUUGCUUUCACACUUUUGCUUGUAUUCACUUUUCUCAUUACUUCUCUCCUCCAAAAUGUAUGCAACAUCAGCAGUUUCUAUUUGAGUAUCAUCACAAUUUUCAUAAGAACAUACUUCUGGAUUCACCUGCUCUUUCGUAGAAGAUUCUAUGCCCAGUUCACUGACAGAAAACUCAAUAUCUUGAUCAUCUAUGGUAUUUU
rnacentral:misc_RNA from 1 species